AAAUCCGAAAACAAUACGGUGAUACUGAUACGUUUGACGAAUUUCCGAGAGAGGUCUCCACCGACUUCUCGGAUGAAUUGCCAGUCAUUCUUCGGUCGAAUAUUGCUCGAAUAUUUCGUUCAAUUUUGAUGACUUUGAUUCCGUUUGUCGGACGGAGUGGUUAGUGCGGUGACUUUAAUGCGAUUGAGCGAUUGAUCGAAACAAUGGGAGCAGUACGAAUAAUUAAUGAUGAUCGCCACUUCCAUGGUGAAUUAGCCAGUGCCGGGCAUAAGCUCGUCGUUGUCGACUUCACGGCAAGUUGGUGUGGACCUUGUCAGAGAAUCGCUCCAGUGUUUGAGCAACUGUCGUUAAAGUAUCCCAAGGCGGUGUUUCUCAAAGUGGACGUGGACAAAUGUGCGGACACCGCUUCGGUACAGGAUGUUCGCGCAAUGCCCACCUUUAUUUUCUAUCGCAGACGCACCAAGCUGGGUCAGUGUCAAGGUGCGGAUCCAGUAGGACUGGAAUCAAAGAUCCAGCAAUUUUACGGAAGCGGCGACUCCGAUGACACGGAGGACUCGGUCACGGAUCCCGUGUCUGGACAUAUGGAUUUGUCCAGUUUCAUAAUGAAACAACAAUGCGAGUGCCUGAAUGAGUCGGACUACCACACAUUCCCUCAGUGUCUGAACUCGGACAGCGGAUACCUACAGAGCGACGAGGACGAGCAAUUGAUAAUGUCUAUUACGUUCUCGCAACCCGUCAAAGUGCACUCGCUCAAGAUCAAAGGGCCUGCUGAGAAUGGACCGAAAAAUAUUAAAUUAUUUAUUAACCAGCCGAGAACAAUCGACUUUGAAAUGGCAAACUCCAAUACUAGUAUUCAAGACCUAAAGUUGUCGGCCAAGGAUCUCGAGGAGGGAAAUCCGAUUCCAUUGCGCUACGUAAAGUUCCAGAACGUGCAGAAUCUUCAAAUCUUUGUGAUAGAUAAUCAGAAUGGUUCGGAAACCACGAGAAUCGAUCAUUUGAUUGUGAUUGGUUCACCGAUCUCGACUACCAACAUGGGCGAGUUCAAGAGAGUAUCCGGCAAAAAGGGAGAGAGCCAUUGAGCGACCUUUCCAUGACAAUAAUGACAUCAAAAUAUCAGGAACUUGGAUUUCAGGCAAUCUAGCAGGCCUUGUGAAUUCGCCAAAUACCACCGCAUCGACAAGCUCGUGUCCAUCUUUGGUCCCAGGCCCUGAUUGCCGCUGUCCGCGUCAUAUUUUGUACCUGUGCUUUACCGCCACAUCUGAAAACACACGUGGCAAACAUACGUACCGUAUAUAUGGAACCGUUAAAAAGUAAUACAUUAACAAUACGUUACUAAAA